UACGUAGGGGGCUAGCGUUGUCCGGAUUUAUUGGGCGUAAAGAGCGUGUAGGCGGCCAGGUAGGUCUGCUGUGAAAACUCGAGGCUCAACCUCGAGACGUCGGCGGAAACCAUCUGGCUAGAGUCCGGAAGAGGAGAGUGGAAUUCCUGGUGUAGCGGUGAAAUGCGCAGAUAUCAGGAAGAACACCCGUGGCUAAGGCGGUUCUCUAGUACGGUACUGACGCUGAGACGCGAAAGCGUGGGGAGCAAACAGG
rnacentral:rRNA from 1 species